rnacentral:rRNA from 1 species
UACGUAGGUGGCAAGCGUUAUCCGGAGUUACUGGGCGUAAAGCGCGGGCAGGCGGUCUGACAAGUCUGAUGUGAAAUCUCCGGGCUUAACCGGGAGAGGCCAUUGGAAACUGACAGGCUGGAGGGCAGUAGAGGUAGGCGGAAUUCCGGGUGGAGUGGUGAAAUGCGUAGAGAUCCGGAGGAACACCAGAGGCGAAGGCGGCCUACUGGGCUGCACCUGACGCUGAGCCGCGAAAGCCAGGGGAGCGAACGGG